GUGGGGAAUAUUGGGCAAUGGGCGCAAGCCUGACCCAGCAACGCCGCGUGAGGGAAGAAGGUUUUCGGAUUGUAAACCUCUGUCGCAAGGGACGAAGAAGUGACGGUACCUUGUGAGGAAGCCCCGGCUAACUACGUGCCAGCAGCCGCGGUAAUACGUAGGGGGCGAGCGUUGUCCGGAAUUACUGGGCGUAAAGGGUGCGUAGGCGGUUGCUUAAGUUGGAUGUGAAAUACCCGGGCUUAACUUGGGGGGUGCAUUCAAAACUGGGCAACUAGAGUUCAGGAGAGGGAAGCGGAAUUCCUAGUGUAGCGGUGAAAUGCGUAGAUAUUAGGAGGAACACCAGUGGCGAAGGAGGCUUUCUGGACUGACACUGACGCUGAGGCACGAAAGCGUGGGGAGCAAACAGGAUUAGAUACCCGAGUAGUCC
rnacentral:rRNA from 1 species